UGUUCCUUGUCAUGUGAUAGGUCAUGGGAAUGGGACAAUUCUUUUUCCUAGUGCUCUCUCAGACCAACACAGACCAAGACACUGAGACUUACACAGAUUUACUGAAACCACAUUUCUGGGUUUUAACAAAAUUCAGAGAAAAAUGAAGGCAAAGUCUGAAUCCAAUUAUCAAAGAGCCUCUCUCAUGCUCCCAGAACUGAGGGCAGUGAUUAUGGGACCGCACAGGUCUGGGACACACUCAGUUGGAAACACCAUCAUGGGAAGAGAGGCCUUUCAUUCUGAGGGAAUCACUGCCCAGUGUGAAAAGAGAGAUGGAGGAUUGGGAGGAAGGAAAGUAACUCUGAUCAAAGCUCCUGGCUGGUGGAGGGAAUAUCAGUUGUGUGACACACCAGAACUUGUUAAGGAACUUGUGUAUGAAGAUACCCAUAUUCUGAACAAACUGAGAAUCCUGAUGCUGGGGUGCGUCUUUGUCUGGAAAAGUGCUGCUGGAAACAUUAUCCUGAACACUGAUAAGUUUGAGGCGGGAGAAAGAACACUGAAGUCUACAAGACGUUGUGGUGUGGUUGUAGACACACCAGGAUGGUGGAAGCUCUUUCUGGCUGAGUUCACUCUUCCCUCAGUGAGGUCAGAUAUCCUGGCAGGUGUUUCUUUGUGCUCUCCUGCCCCCAAUGCUGUCCUCCUGAUGAUUCCUGUGGAUACAUAUUUUACUGAGGAACAGAGGAAGGUGACACAGGACAACAUGAAGCUGCUGGGAGAGAACAUCUGAAGACACACUAUAGUGGUGUUUACCAGGGGGGCGUGGCUGAGAGACACAACAACCAUUGAGCAGCACAUUGAGAGUGAAGGGGAGGCCCUCCGGUGGCUCAUCGAGAAAUGUGGGAACAGGUAUCAUGUCUUUGACAGUAAGGGUGAAGACACUGAAACUUAGGUCACAGAGCUGCUGGAUGAAAUGGAGGAGAUGGUGUCAGGAAACUUUUUUCUGAUACCCAUUGUCUAGUGGAGACAAAGUCUGAUCCACAGCCAGAGGUCAAUGAAGAGGAAGAAGCAACUGGCAAGAUCGGACAAAUUCUCAAUAAAGACUGGGAUCGGAGAAACUGUGAUAGUCUGGAAAUAGCGAUGGCAUCAAAUAGAAGUAUGAGUGCAGCUAUUAACUGGGAGUACUCUCUCUUCUUUUCUCUCUCUUUCCCUUAGCGCUUUUUCUUUGAUUGAGGUUCAUCAUCAUUAUUGUCAUUUCUGUGCAGUCAGAGACAAGCCACCCUUGGAGAGCUCAUAACUGGGAGAGGGAGUGUUUGGCAGAAGAGCAGAGACCAUGGCAGAGCAGAAGGAGGUUGAGGCUGCCAGCAGCAGAACAGGUCAAAGUACAGACAUAAACCAGUUGACAUGCAGAGCUGAACAGCAUAUUCAGAGAAUUGCUGGAGAGGCAGUGGAGCAGGCAUGAGAUAGCCUAUCUACAGAGUCAUGGUGAGCAUUUAGUCACAAACAUAACAACCACAGGAUGCAUCAGGCUUGCUGUCUCCUGUCUGUAUAGUCUCACCAAAUCCCCAUGAAACCUUAACAAUAGUUUUCCAAUGCAAUGCCUAUA
rnacentral:lncRNA from 1 species